rnacentral:lncRNA from 1 species
UUGAAAGACAGAACUAUCUCAGUGUUUUCAUUCUUUAAUGUUGUGAUCUUCAAGAAUGUAUGAAUGUAAGAACUGAGGCCUAAGGGUUCCUCUUGUUAGAGUUAUGUUCACAUCCGUAGCGGACCCUGUCACUUCUUCAUUCUAAGUUUCAUUAGAAUCAAGUUUUAUUAUUUUCAUAUAACUAUCAAACUAUAGGUUCCCUAGAUUUAAAAAAAAAGUAUUAGACAACUAGGUCUAAAAUCCCUCUCUGUGACUUUAUAUGUAUAAAUGUAAAAAUUAUUAAUCUUCAAUUCUCACCAAAGAACAAAAUGUUAUGUAAAUUUUAAGUAUUUUAACAAAGUUAUUCACAUGUAUUUUUAAUGUUAUAAUUCAUCUUUACCCAAGCCCCUCAGUCUUACUAGGUUACAGGAAGAGACAGUGUUGUUCUUGUUACAGGUAUAGAGAGCACUGAGUUUAGCAACUGAAAGGAAGGAAAGGAGUUGGAUAAGUGGGCUAGCUCCUGGUAUCCAUGUGAACUACACGAGGGAAGUAAGGUAGAAGACAUCGAUGUUCUUGUUUCAGCAUUGUAUUCAGGCCUUGAGCUUGGCCUCUAAAUUACAGAUAAUAUUAGCUUAUCAUCAUUUUAUUUCUCCUUUAGACUUUUAUAAAGUAAUUUUAUUCUGUAAACCAUUUUUCUGCUAUUUUUUUUAUUCUAAAGUCAACUUUCUAAGCCAAGGGAAUGGCAAAUGCUGUGUCUUUUCUGUAUUUCAAGAUAAAAUAACACAUGGCUUCUAUAAGAUAGUUAUUUGUUGGAGGUGGGGGGAGUCACUGAAAGUUACAUGAGGUUCAUACUUUGCCAUAAAAAUAAAAUUAAAUCAAAUUUUAGUAUAUUUUAAUAAGUGAAUACUAAAUACAUCAAGUAAAGACAGAUCAUGGAGCCCGUUAUGAUGAUUGCAUUGUGUAUUUUGAAAUAUGAAGACUCAAAUACAUAGUAAGUGUCUUUGUCAUAUAAUCAUUCAUGUAUAAAACCAAACUGGUAUUUCAUACUUUAAGAGACAAUUAACUGUUAUUUUAAAAAAUAAGCAUUGUUUUGAUUUUUUUCUUUUGACUUGUUGACUGAGUUUCAAAGGGCACAUCAGAAUUUUAUAGUUGACGCUAAUGUGAAAAUAUAAACGUCCCUAUUUUGCAGUGGUGUGAAUAUUUGGACAUGCUGUAUAUAUAGUGUAACAUCUGUAUAUUUGAUCAUAAAGGCAGAUAAUUGAAAACAUUGUAAACUUAAGCCCUUCAAUUCUUGUUAAAUAUGAAAUAUUUGUAUCUUGUAAAUAAAGACAUCCUUAAAUUGGUU